CUUGACCUCGGAUCAGGU
rnacentral:rRNA from 2 species